rnacentral:rRNA from 1 species
AUUGAACGCUGGCGGCAUGCUUAACACAUGCAAGUAGAACGAGUGGCGGAAGGGUGAGUAAUGCUUGGGAAUCUAGCUUAUGGAGUGGGAUAACUACGGGAAACUGUAGCUAAUACCGCGUACCAUAGGAUGAGCCCAAUGGGGAUUAGGUAGUUGGUGAGGUAAAGGCUCACCAAGCAGACGAUCUCUAGCUGGUCUGAGAGGAUGACCAGCCACACUGGGACUGAGACACGGCCCAUACUCCUACGGGAGGCAGCAGUGGGGAAUAUUGCGCAAUGGGCGCAACCUGACGCAGCAAUGCCGCGUGAAUGAAGAAGGCCUUCGGGUUGUAAAGUUCUUUCGGUAGCGAGGCGUUAUCUACAGAAGAAGCACCGGCUAACUCCGUGCCAGCAGCCGCGGUAAUAC